CAUACCAAAAUCAAACUUUCUAGUAUCGCAAUUUUGUUAUUACAAUAUUUGAUAUGCAUUUUAAAUUUAUUUGAUAUUCAGUAUUUCAUAUCUAAGGUUUGGUGGCACAUUUAUCGAUACAUAUGCCAGUAGACUAGUAAAGGCACGCCUAAACUGCUUAAUCUGACCCAAACCAUAUGUUAACCAAAAUAUUUAGUAAAAAAAUAAGCAUUUUAAAUUUAUUUGGUAUUCCAUAUACAAUAUAAAAUAAUAUAUUAAUUGAAUACGGGACCAAUGCCCAUUUCUUAAUUAAGAAACUCGAUCAAAUAGUCAAGUCCAACAAGACUUAGACCAAUCCAGAAAUAAAAAAAAAAAGAACAACAAAAUAAUCAAAAACUAAAAUGGAAAAUAACAAUCGAGAAGGCUCUAGAAAGUCGAUCAAACUACAAUUUAAUUUUCUUCGGAGCAAUCAAGGCUUGGGACCUGAAUCAAGCCUUGUAGGAAAAGGGAGGGGAUACAACUUCAAAAACUAGGAGUUGCUUUGGUACAAGUUGUGUUGAACUUGAAUAGAUUUCCCCAUCGAAUUCUAGAAAAUUCUCGCUGAUAUCAUGGAAUUUGAUUUCAUGGAAGACCGUUUCGAGUCAUGCGUUGUAGACCUGUUUGAGUUAGAUCUAAUACCACACAUAUAACUCGAUACUAAGAAUUCUAGGACGAUUAAUUAUCCACAUCCUUCAUCCUUACGGGCUGAGUUGGAUCUAAUACCACACAUAUAACUCGAUACUAAGGUUGAGUCGGAUUUAAUACCACACUAUAACUCGAUACUAAGGUACAAUAUCGUAUGUUCUUAAUUUCUACUACUUUUAUGUUCAUUUAUUUAAUUGUGCCUAAUGUUGAUGUUUUCGAAUCAUGAAUUGUAUCUCUGGUAAAACCCUUCUCCUAAAUUCAAUUUCAUCAAAUUUGAGCUAAAAUAACAUCAAUUUUUGUUAAACAAUAAAAUUCUAGGACGACUAAUUAUCCACAUCCUUCAUAAUGAUAUUAUUUGCAUAGACUAGAUGAUGAAUAUUUUCACUUCAUGUGUCUAAUUAUUAAUCAAUAUAGAAUAAAAAUUAUCAACAAUUAUUUUUCAAAUCUUGUCUACCACAAAGUUAUUACACCACCUUGCACACAUCAUCUUCCACAAUGUCCAACAACACAUUAACACUAGUACAAAACUAAUUAUUUAGAUGUUAUAAUUUUUAUUAUUACUCUAUCUUAAU